rnacentral:rRNA from 1 species
UACGUAGGGUGCGAGCGUUGUCCGGAAUUAUUGGGCGUAAAGAGCUCGUAGGCGGUGUGUCACGUCGAUCGUGAAAACUUGGGGCUUAACCCUGAGCUUGCGGUCGAUACGGGCAUCACUGGAGUUCGGCAGGGGAGACUGGAAUUCCUGGUGUAGCGGUGAAAUGCGCAGAUAUCAGGAGGAACACCGGUGGCGGAGGCGGGUCUCUGGGCCGAUACUGACGCUGAGGAGCGAAAGCGUGGGGAGCGAACAGG